UACGAAGGGGGCUAGCGUUGUUCGGAAUCACUGGGCGUAAAGGGCGCGUAGGCGGCUUCAUAAGUCGGGGGUGAAAGCCUGUGGCUCAACCACAGAAUUGCCUUCGAUACUGUAGAGCUUGAGACCGGAAGAGGUAAGUGGAACUGCGAGUGUAGAGGUGAAAUUCGUAGAUAUUCGCAAGAACACCAGUGGCGAAGGCGGCUUACUGGUCCGGUUCUGACGCUGAGGCGCGAAAGCGUGGGGAGCAAACAGG
rnacentral:rRNA from 1 species